rnacentral:rRNA from 1 species
GACGAACGCUGGCGGCGUGCCUAAUACAUGCAAGUCGAACGCAGUGGGGACGGGUGAGUAACACGUGGGUAACCUCCCAUCAGAGGGGAUAACACUUGGAAACAGGUGCUAAACCGAUACUGAUGGAUGGCCCCGCGGUGCAUUAGCUAGUGGGUGCGGUAACGGCUCACCAAGGCCACGAUGCAUAGCCGACCGGAGAGGGGGAUCGGCCACACUGGAACUGGGACACGGCCCAGACGCCUACGGGAGGCAGAAGGAGGGAAUCUUCGGCAAUGGACGAAAGUCUGACCGAGAAACGCCGCGGGAUGGAAAAAGGUUUUCGGAUCGUAAAACUCUGUUGUUAGAGAAGCGGUAUCUAACCAGAAAGCCACGGCUAACUACGUGCCAGCAGCCGCGGUAAUAC